AGUGAACGCUGGCGAUAGGCCUAACACAUGCAAGUCGAACGGCAGCACAGUAAGAGCUUGCUCUUACGGGUGGCGAGUGGCGGGCGGGUGAGGAAUACAUCGGAAUCUACUUUUUCGUGGGGGAUAACGUAGGGAAACUUACGCUAAUACCGCAUACGACCUACGGGUGAAAGCAGGGGAUCUUCGGACCUUGCGCGAUUGAAUGAGCCGAUGUCGGAUUAGCUAGUUGGCGGGGUAAAGGCCCACCAAGGCGACGAUCCGUACCUGGUCUGAGAGGAUGAUCAGCCACACUGGAACUGAGACACGGUCCAGACUCCUACUGGAGGCAGCAGUGGGGAAUAUUGGACAAUGGGCGCAAGCCUGAUCCAGCCAUACCGCGUGGGUGAAGAAGGCCUUCGGGUUGUAAAGCCCUUUUGUUGGGAAAGAAAAGCAGCAGGUUAAUACCCCGCUGUUCUGACGGUACCCAAAGAAUAAGCACCGGCUAACUUCGUG
rnacentral:rRNA from 1 species